UACGUAGGGAGCGAGCGUUGUCCGGAUUCAUUGGGCGUAAAGCGCUUUAAGGCGGUUCGCUAAGUCGGGUGUGAAACCUCCAGGCUCAACCUGGAGACGCCACUCGAUACUGCCGGACUAGAGUUCGGAAGAGGCGAGUGGAAUUCCCGGUGUAGCGGUGAAAUGCGCAGAUAUCGGGAGGAACACCUAUGGCGAAGGCAGCUCGCUGGGACGUUACUGACGCUGAGACGCGAAAGCGUGGGGAGCAAACAGG
rnacentral:rRNA from 1 species